GUCGUGGAUUCGGCGUGAUUGACUGCGGUUUGUGGAUUCGGAUCGUGAGCUUCGUGGAUUCGGAGUGGAGGCGUUUCGUGGAUUCGGAACGUGGCGUUCGUGGAUUCGAACGUGAGGGCGUGGACAACCCGGAGGAUUGCACGAGAUUCGUAAGAGGUUAAGAGAGGUCGAGUCCGUGGAGUCGGUAAUCACCUUGUAAUCUUUUUUCUUAGUGAAUU
rnacentral:lncRNA from 1 species